UACGUAGGUGACAAGCGUUGUCCGGAUUUACUGGGCGUAAAGAGCGCGCAGGCGGUCGAUCAAGUCGAGUGUGAAAGCCCCCGGCUCAACUGGGGAGGGUCAUUCGAUACUGAUCGACUCGAAGGCAGGAGAGGGUAGUGGAAUUCCCGGUGUAGUGGUGAAAUGCGUAGAUAUCGGGAGGAACACCAGUGGCGAAGGCGGCACUCUGGGCCAGUACUGACGCUGAGGAGCGAAAGCGUGGGGAGCGAACAGG
rnacentral:rRNA from 1 species